UGGGGAAUCUUGCGCAAUGGGGGAAACCCUGACGCAGCAACGCCGCGUGAGUGAGGAAGGCCUUCGGGUCGUAAAGCUCUGUCAGAUGGGAAGAAAUGGGUGGGGGCUAAUAUCGUCCAUCCUUGACGGUACCAUCAGAGGAAGCACCGGCUAACUCCGUGCCAGCAGCCGCGGUAAUACGGGGGGUGCAAGCGUUGUUCGGAAUCAUUGGGCGUAAAGCGCGCGCAGGCGGCUUGGUAAGUCAGAUGUGAAAUCCCUGGGCUUAACCCAGGAAGUGCAUUUGAUACUGCCUCGCUAGAGUACGGGAGAGGAAAGUGGAAUUCCUGGUGUAGAGGUGAAAUUCGUAGAUAUCAGGAGGAACACCGGUGGCGAAGGCGACUUUCUGGCCCGAUACUGACGCUCAGGCGCGAAAGCGUGGGGAGCAAACA
rnacentral:rRNA from 1 species